GCCCCGGGCCAGGGCCGAAGCUGCAGCGGUGGUGGCAACAGCAUCAGCUGUUGCUAAGGAAGCUGAGAAUGCAGGGUGGGGGCCGGAGAGUGGGCAGCAACCCAGCAGGGCAGCACCCCCCAUGCAUGUCUGAGCACCUUGGGCCCUGGAAACGGUGUUCCCAGCUGGCUGCCAUGGCAACAGCAGGCUUCGGAGCCAUUCAUCUCGGUCUGGACAGCUUCCCCUACUCGCACUAGCGCUUUGUCUCCCUAAGUGGCUAACUGAGGUGUGAAAGGGUCUGUGGUGAGUGGACAAAGGAGCACAAAGGGCAAAAGAUGAGGAAAUGGAGGCUUCAAGGUCAAACCCCUUGCCCAGAGACAUGCAGCAGAAAGUGAUGAAGCUGAGAUUUGAACUUGCACCUGUCUGCCUGCAAAUCCCAUCUCUUCCUGCUGUGCCAGAGACAGCAGAAGGGCCCACGGCUGUGUAGAUGUGGCCUAUUAGCCUCUCAAGUCUAGAGCAAGCCCCUCAGUGUGGGGCCCCUCCCUAGCCGCACUUCCUGCCACACCUGUCCUUCAAGCAGCCGCCUUUCUUUAGAACCCCACGUCUACUGUGGUGAUCACUCUGCAUAGCUGCUUUAGAAACAUAUGAAGAUAACAGAAGGAUCUCAUCUGCAACCCAGAGCUCUCUGUGCCUGGUGGUGACUCCCAAGAAGCUCCCAUAAGGAAGAGGUCCCUCAAAGAACACACUGAACACAGUGGACCCUCUGCUGCCAAAACAGGCAGGGAAGCAUCUCCUGGAGCCUGCUUGGUCAGCUCUGCUCUCAGAAGCUUGGAGGGCAAACGGGGGUGACUGGACCCAGCUGGAAUAAUGGAAAGAAUGGGAACUAGCACUUAGAAGCACCUACUGUGUUCCAGAAAUUCUGGUGCAUUUAUCUGUGUAGCCUUCAAAAUAGCUCUGUUGGGUUGAUAGUAUUUUUGCCCCAUGUUAUGGUAUAAGAAACUGAGUUCAGAGAGGUUAGGUAACUUGAAUCAGGCCAUAAAGCACUUAAGCCCAAACUUAA
ensembl:lncRNA LINC02730 long intergenic non-protein coding RNA 2730